rnacentral:tRNA from 1 species
GGCGCUGUGGCUGAGUGGUAAAGUGCUUGGCUUCUGAACUGGGGGUCCCGGGUUCAAAUCCUGGUGAAGACU